rnacentral:rRNA from 1 species
GACGACGUUUGCGGCGGGCCUAACACAUGCAAGUCGAACGAGUAACCCGGGCUUCGGUCUGGGGGAAAGUGGCGCACGGGUGCGUAACACGUGGGUAAUCAACCCUUUGGAUCGGGACAACCCGGGGAAACUCGGGCUAAUACCGGAUAAGUCGUGGGAGUCUUCGGGCACCCACGGGAAAGGCCCGCAAGGGCUACCAUUGGACGAGCUCGCGGCCCAUCAGCUUGUUGGUGAGGUAAUGGCUCACCAAGGCUAAGACGGGUAGCUGGUCUGAGAAGAUGAUCAGCCACACUGGAACUGAGACACGGUCCAGACUCCUACGGGAGGCAGCAGGUGGGGAAUAUUGCGCAAUGGGCGAAAGCCUGACGCAGCCACGCCGCGUGUGCGAUGAAGGUCUUCGGAUACGUAAAGCACUGUGGGGGGAGAAGAACAAAGCCGGUGAAGAGCCGGCCCUGACGGUAUCCCCUUAGCAAGCACCGGCUAACUCCGUG